UACACGGCACAAGGGACGAAAAUUUGCAAUUUUUCAUUUUUCCAUGAAUGAAGGAAGGGGAGGAGGGAAGGUGAUUUAUCGUUCCAGAGUUAAUUACAUUGAGGUCGUUGUGGCAAGAGAAGCGUUCGCUCGCUGGAAAAACGAAAGUUGCACGCUGGGUGGACAUGUGAUACGAAAAUGAUUUAUUUGUGUCCAUACUUGCGUGUUCCAUCCAGUAAAAGAACGAUUAUUUUACCCGAUCACGAAGAUUGGAAUGUUUUGUGGUUCGUUAAUCGAAAAAGGAUUUACGAAAAUUUCAAUUUUCGGCGCGGUUUGGGUGAAAAAGGGACCGUACUGCGCCAGCCAAUCAGAAAGCUUCGAAGCGUACCUGCUGCGCGCGACGUCAUUCGGCUGCCGAAAAUCAUCGUGGCAGGACGUGUGAUACCGCUCGAUAUAUAUAUAUAACCUCAAUUACGUAAUAAAUAUUUCUGUUAUUAUUGUGUUUUAUAGUUUGAAUUGUUAUUAAUUUUGUUUUUGUUCAAUGUGUGUUUGUUUCAUAAGAAAUUAUUAUGAUAAAAUUAAGUGAUAUUGUGAAUUUUUUUUGCUUGUAUUCGUUAAUCGAUUAUUCGACCGUUGAAGUUGCCGGUAUCUCGCGUUAUUUAUGCUUUUAAGAUCAUUAAUCUAUUUGAAGGAAUGAGUGUUAUGCAUUUUUGACGCUACGAUGAUUAAUGGCGAAUGAGAUGAGUCUUCAUGCAGCAUGGUUAUGUUUAAUUUAUUGCAACAAUGGCAGAUAAAAGAAGUUUCUCGACAGUUGGACAAAUUUGAUGGAAUGUUUAUCAUUGCAUCACAUUUGUGAAAUAUUGAACUUACAUCGUCUAAUGUCGGAGGGAAUUGAACGAUGGGCUUGACAGCGAUGUCGUUAAGGGCAGCGGAUCUCCUGUUGAACCGAAUCG